GUGAAGGGUUGCCAUGGUUUCAGCGUGCAAUUAUUCGCAUGUGCUUUCAUUCUUUACAGAUAUGAUUACAUUUGACGACAUGUUCGCUCAUCAAAAUUUAGCGACCGUCGGGAACUUAGACGACGAAGAAAGAAGAGCACCCGGAAGAACAUUCCACAUGUUCUUAUUUAGUCGAAAUGAUCUAUGAUUUUUCUAUGGAAAGCACGAAGGAUGAAAUCAGCUGGAAGUCGCAUGGAGUGGCUUGCAGCGCACCUGCUGCACCUACUAGUACCUGGCGGGUCCAGAGCAAGUUUAGGACAGAUCUCACACCACUACCUGAAGGUACAUCUUGGUCAGCAGAGUGUCAUAAGGACGUCUACAUUACUCAGUUAGUACAGCGGCUGGAAAGUCUGCACAUGUCUGCGAUAGUGAACACACAACAGGUAUCUUUGGAAAGCAUUUCUAAUGGCUGUACGGCACAGGAACCGACCACCUGUUGCAGCCAAACGAAAUCAUCCCAAGUCUCAAAGCAACAUCAUAAAACCCAGUUAAGGAUGCUGUCACACAGAUGGCAGAGGCUUGGUCUUCAGCCUCCAAUCAUCUGGGACACACAAGAACACAUUUCUCAACAUAAACCUGAUUUAGAAACCAGACCAGAACUGGAAAUCCACCCCAUACAGCUCAGCUGCAUUGUUUCUCCAAGGAACGAACGAUCAGAUGAGAUCAAGACAAUCAGUAAUUUCCUUUGUAGCAGAUCCAAUAAUGAACCUCUUGAAGGAAAUGCAAUUGAAGCAUCCAUAGCAGUCGAAUCUGAAAACAGUGACCUCUCUGACCAAGAGAAAUACAAUAAACCUAUAUUAAAAUGGGAAACUGCUGUAGAAUUGGAGCUGAGGCCGGACUUAUUUGAUAGAGAUCCAGAACCUACAGUGACUGGAGAAGGAGAGCAAGUGUAUCCUGAAGUUCUUCCAUUUCCAGUAAAAGAUCUCGACUUUAGUCAAUUCCAGUCCACAGCAGAUGAUUUGGAGAGCCAGCACAACUUGUGUUACACUGAUCCUUGUCUCACAGCUAUGGCUGCACGCAUGCUAAAACUGGAGAAACUUCAGACUGCGACUAUACAGAAAGAACAAGGGAAAGCGCUGAGAUCUCGUCCAACGACUGCUUUAGUUCGAAGCGCCAACCGUCUGAGACGUGUGGAAAGCCCUUGUUCUCAGGUAGAACACUUGAGGACUAAAGGCAAUAAUUCAGUUUUAGAAGAUGUAACAAAACUCGCCCUUUCUUCAAGCUCUCAUUCAAAGUCUACACAUCAUAAUCGCCCCUCGCCAAAUGCUGGAAAGAUGUGGAUUGGUUUUCAGCAACCACCGGCUUUACCUAAGAAACUACACUCGGGUGUGGUAAAAUUAAAGAAGACUGAUGCCCUUGUUCAAGAUCUUGUUGUUCGUUCGAGCAUGCCACAAAAGUGCAGUAGUGCAAAUAGCUCGAAGAGAUGCAAACCCUCAAAGAAAGCCAUGCCAAAGUCUCAGAAGACUUCUGAAAAGACUAAUGUUCCUGCUAAAGCUCUUUGCAGGAAAACAUGA
ensembl:lncRNA